rnacentral:tRNA from 29 species
GGAGAGAUGGCCGAGUGGUUGAUAGCUCCGGUCUUGAAAACCGGUAUAGUUCUUUCCGAACUAUCGAGGGUUCGAAUCCCUCUCUCUCCUUUUCUC